AUAUUAGUAUUGUGUCAAACAUUUCUUUUAAUUCCAUGUCUAAUUCUGUAUACAUUUUUACAUGGAAAUGUCUUUUACUAUGAUCAGAUUUGAAAAGAAUUCUGCUUCACACAGAUUCUUAACUGAUCUCAUUCCCAGUGACGAGUAAAAGGAAAUGAACUCUUGCUCUCUUUAGAGUCUUGCAGUUCUCAUAGGAGUACAAAGGGGCAAGUGUGCUGACC